AUGGAGGCUGUUUUAGAACUGUUGGUGAUCUCAGCAGGAGUGUCUCAUGGCUUGGUGACUUCCUGUGAUGCUAUACAGAAUGGAUCUCAGUGUUAUGGAGCUCUGGGAGGAACUGUCUAUCUCCAGCUGGUGACUGAUGCCACGAGAUAUGAUGCACUCUCAUUUUGGAAAGGCUCAACCGGUGCUAAAACAGGGAUACUGAAAAUGAGGAUGGACAAAUGGGUAAUAAGAGACACCCCCAUUAAAGACAGAGUACACUUCUUUAUAAACAAUGGGACAUUUAGGUUAAAUAACACAAGAAGGAAUGAUUCUGGUGAAUACCUGCUCGAAAAACAUGAAUCAGAUGGGAGAUCAUCAGGGAUCAGAGGACUACAACUGUUCAUCGAAGCUCCAGUGUCCAGUCCUCAGCUGUCCUCUGAGUGUCAGUCUCAUGGAGAGAUGAGGGUGUCCUGCUCCUCUGAGGGGGAUGGUCCCCAGUACAGCUGGACUCUGAAUGGACAGACGCUGAACGACACUGAUGCCCCUCCUUAUAAUAUGACAAACACCAUCACUCUGAAAAAAGGCCUGUCAGGAGAUCUCACCUGUACUGUCAGAAACAACAUCAAUAGUGAUACUGUCAGCAGGAGAAUCUCACACUGUCCAGGGCUGAUAUAUGUUAACUGCACCUUAUCCAACGGGACAAAGAUAUCAGAGUGGGUGAAUGCCACUGGUAAUACCCUGUGUGUUGAGUCUACAACAGUGGUGACUGUGACUGAGUCUCCCACCAGUAAAAUCUUCACUGGUAAGGGCCCGGGGCAUGACACCCUAAUGACCUCCAGACCCAGCAAUCACACCCAGGGCUUGACUAACAGCACUUGUACUAACACCACUCAGACCCUUUGGAUUUUUACCACAAAGUACAUAGGGAUGGCAGCAGGGUCUCUGGCAGGAGUGGUCCUUGUCUUAUUGAUGGUGUUGGCAGUUUACUGUGUCCAGAAGAAAAAUAAACCUCCUUCAAAGGCUCAAGUUAUCUCUCUUUCCACAGUUAAGGGUGACAGCCAGGAUGUGGAAUACGCUGAUGUCAGGAUACUGAGGCAGGAAAUGAGACAGAAGGAGAGGGAGGCGCCGGUGGAGGUGGAAUAUGGGCAAGUGAACGAAGUGUGUGGUCCCCAGCAGCCGGUGGAGGUGGAGUAUGGACAGAUUACAAUAUUAGAGGGUCCCAGGAGGAAGGUAGACAUGCCUGAGGAGGAGUAUUGCAUGUAUGCCAGUGUACGGAAAGGACAGUGA
rnacentral:lncRNA from 13 species